AAUAUUAAUAAUACAUUUAACAAUACUAAAUAACAAUAAUAUAUAAUGGUUAAUUAUAAUAAUGAUAAUAAUAAUAAUAAUAAGUUAAUAAUAAUAUUAAAAAUGAUAAUAAUAGAAAUAGUAAAUAAUAAUAAUAAUAAUAAUAAUAACAAUAAUAAUGGAAAUAAUAAAGAAAGAAAGAAAAAAAAUAAUAAAAAUCAUAAUAAUAGUAAUAAUAUUAUAAUACUCAAAACAACAACAAUCAGUAUAAUAUAUAAAAUAAAAUAAGAAUAAAAAAAAAGAAAAGAAAAAAACAUAAAUGAGUGGGACGUUGGAUAUUAGAGAGAGAAAAAGAUGAUUUUUAAGACCACCAACCCCUGCCUGACACGUGGCAGGGGAGCAU
rnacentral:lncRNA from 1 species